CUCGGUCUCCUUGGCCUCCCGCUCCUGCGACGCCGCCUUUCUUUUCUCUUGUUCCCGGGCUCGGACCUCGGCGGGGGGCCCCGCCCGCCAGUUGGUCGCCUCCUGCAGCACCCUGGAGGCCCAGGGUCGGCGGGGUGGCGGCUCAGGGGAUCCCGGGCGCAGCCUACACCUGGGACAAUGAGCAGGAACCCAGGGCUUCUUCUCUCCACCCGUGAGCACCAGAGCCUGUAAGAUGUCAGACAGCGAAACGAUGCCCUUGACCACGUCGUGUUCAUCCACCACCACCAGACGGUGAACCUGGCCCAGAGGAACAGCAAGUAAAGUCAGUGCCAGCUCCAGUUCGGGCAAGGCAGAGACUCGGUGCUGUACAAAGAUGCCCAGGGCCACGUAGACAGGCGUGGUAGUACGGACCAUGGCAAUAUUGGCAUAGGUGCCAAUCUGCAGCUCUUGGAGAGACUUAGACAUGAAUUCCGGCUUGGGGAACUCGGUGAUCUGAGGAAGGGGGCAUUGGCUUUCAGGUGUUUUCCUGGUAGAGCAUGAGGCGCUACGCUCAAUCAUCAACACCCACCGACACCGCUCAUCUGUCCCCAAACCGCCCUGUGUGUCUGCAGUUCAGCAGUGAGCGGACAACGGGCUGCGGUGACUUACAAACAACUUCAGGAACUUGAGGAUCCGCUUGUGAGUGAGGAUGUACAAGGUGUUGCCUGACUCGGGGUCGAUAACUGGAAGCCUGUGGAUCUUAUUUCGAAUUAAUGAAGAGACAGCAUCAAACAAGCUGUGAAAAAGUAGAAGAUCAUAGUUAGGUUCCACGGGGCUAAAGCCAGGCUGCACAACCCCUUGGAAUGUGUUUACAGACAGAAAAAACCCACGGUCAGCGCUGUGUGUGGCUGGGCGUGAACUGGUAAUGCCGGCACUGGGGCAAACAGAAGAGUCUAAGUUCACGACAGCCUCAACUCUACAGUAAGAGCAAGGCCAGUCUCGGCUAUGUGUGAGACUUUUUUUUUUUUUUCUCAAACACACACAGCAUGGCAGUGUGCAUGAGGAGGGGUCUUUCUUCUCUCUUCUCUCAUGCCCCUGCGAUAAACACAAAACCAGAACUCACCUGGCAUUUGGAGAAAUGCAGACAAGUGGCUUAAAGGAGUCCUGCAGGUAUACCUCUGAAGAGAACAAAACACUGCCACAAGUGUCUCCCAGGACACCCUCCAUCCCUCAUCUGCCACCACCCACCCAUACCUCUCCACGUCUCUAUCUUGUGCUCCUCCAGUUCAUAGAUCUGCACCUAGAAGCAGAAGCGGCAGCUCUGAGCCUCAUGCUCCCCUCAUCAUUAAUUCACGGAGCUUUGCUCGCAGGGGAAAACCAGGCACAAUGGAUCCCAGGCAGGGCCGUGGUUUUGGGUGGGAGACUCGGGCUCCUUACCAGGGCUGACUUAUAAUAUCGGUGCAAAAUGUUGAUGAAGUCGGUGAUGGUCAGCAUGCCUAGACAAGAGCCAAGACAAGGGCCUCAGCUCAGCCCGCCCAAGGCUUUUCCCCUCGCCGGCACCACAUGCCAGUAACCGUAUCCCAGAAACUCCUGCUUACCUACAAAACUCUGCUUCUUACUGUCCCACAGAGGGGCGGCACGGACACCAUUGGUCACCAGGGCAAAGAAGGCUUUCUUUACCUAUGGCCAAGAGAGUAACCUCCUAAGGAGAUCCAUAGAGGACACAGCUUCGAGAAAGAGCAGGGUUGGUGUGUGGGGAAAUGUGACGAAUGCUGACAGGCCUUGGACCAGCGCAGAAGGAAGGACUCUACCCACCUGCAGCGAAGUGUCAAAUACCACCAACUUGGAACUUGUGGGAAUCAGGUCAUAGCAGCGAUGAGACUUCAUGAAGGAGGUAUACACACUAUUGUUUGAUUCCGGGGUCUCUGCACAGAGUGGAAAAGUUGGUGUGUUUAAAAAUGGCUUUUGUUUCGUUCUU
ensembl:lincRNA